CUUUUUAGCUCUAGUUCCAUCCUCAAUUGCAUUGAGUGUUCCAUCUACAUCUGCAAUAAUUGUUACAUCUUCAGCUGCUACAAGUGGUAAGUUUAUAAACUAUUAUUUUCUAAUAUGUG
rnacentral:lncRNA from 1 species